rnacentral:lncRNA from 1 species
UUCAUACCCAGCUCCCAACUAAUGAUUUUGUAAUGGAAUAAUCGUGAGUCUGCUCCUUGCCAUCCCUCCGCAUCUAUUCCUGGCUUGAACUGCCAGCAUGGUGGCACUGAUCCACUCUUGACCUCUAACAUCCUCUGAGGCUCUCGCCCUUGCUGUGCUUUGAGCCCAGUAUCCCUUGCUACUGAUCUCAGCUAUUGAUGUCAUCUGCACCCUUCACUAGGUUGGCCUGUUGCUCAGCUAUACCAAAACGAGUCAUUUCCUGCCAACCUGGCUUGCACAGGACCAUCCCAUCUAUCAGCUAUGCUGCUAUAUGUCGGAAACUGCUGCAUGUUUGAACUUCUCGGUUGAGAACACAGAAUGAAUUAUUCCUCAAAGCGUUCCUGGAUCCUGAUUCCAUGGAGAUAGGGAACUUUGCUCCAAGAGCAAGUGAUCAACUCUGAUCAAGUGGAAAUCCUUGCUUAGGUCAUAAUGCAAAAUUUAAAAAGCAGGAAAAUAUUAUAAAUAAAAGAUGACCUAAUUCUGUUAAAACCA